UACAGAGGGGGGCAAGCGUUGUUCGGAAUUACUGGGCGUAAAGGGCGCGUAGGCGCCUUCUAAGUCGAACGUGAAAUCCCCGGGCUCAACCCGGGAACUGCGUCCGAUACUGGAAGGCUUGAAUCCGGGAGAGGGAUGCGGAAUUCCAGGUGUAGCGGUGAAAUGCGUAGAUAUCUGGAGGAACACCGGUGGCGAAGGCGGCAUCCUGGACCGGUAUUGACGCUGAGGCGCGAAAGCCAGGGGAGCAAACGGG
rnacentral:rRNA from 1 species